UACGAAGGGGGCUAGCGUUGCUCGGAAUCACUGGGCGUAAAGCGCACGUAGGCGGCUUCUCAAGUCAGGGGUGAAAUCCUGGAGCUCAACUCCAGAACUGCCUUUGAUACUGAGGGGCUCGAGUCCGGGAGAGGUGAGUGGAACUGCGAGUGUAGAGGUGAAAUUCGUAGAUAUUCGCAAGAACACCAGUGGCGAAGGCGACUAACUGGACAGGUAUUGACGCUGAGGUGCGAAAGCGUGGGGAGCAAACAGG
rnacentral:rRNA from 1 species